CCCGCUGAACUUAAGCAUAUCAAUAAGCGGAGGAAAAGAAACUAACAAGGAUUCCCCUAGUAACUGCGAGUGAAGCGGGAAGAGCUCAAAUUUAAAAUCUGGUGUGCCCUUGGUCACCCGAGUUGUAGUCUGGAGAAGUGUUUUCCGUGUUGGACCGUGUAUAAGUCUCUUGGAACAGGGCGUCAUAGAGGGUGAGAAUCCCGUCUUUGACACGGACUACCAACGCUUUGUGAUGCGCUCUCAAAGAGUCGAGUUGUUUGGGAAUGCAGCUCAAAAUGGGUGGUAAAUUCCAUCUAAAGCUAAAUAUAGGCGAGAGACCGAUAGCGAACAAGUACCGUGAGGGAAAGAUGAAAAGCACUUUGGAAAGAGAGUUAAACAGUACGUGAAAUUGCUGAAAGGGAAACGCUUGAAGUCAGUCGCAUCUGCCAGGACUCAGCCUUGCUUCUGCUUGGUGUACUUUCUGGUUUGAUGGGCCAACAUCAAUUUUGACCGUUGGAGAAAGGCUUUGGGAAUGUGGCACCUUUUAGGUGUGUUAUAGCCCUUUGUCAUAUACGGCGGUUGGGAUUGAGGACUGCAGCACGCCUUCAUGGCCGGGGUUCGCCUACGUACGUGCUUAGGAUGUUGGCAUAAUGGCUUUAAGCGACCCGUCUUGAAACACGG
rnacentral:rRNA from 1 species